rnacentral:rRNA from 1 species
AUUGAACGCUGGCGGCAGGCUUAACACAUGCAAGUCGAGCGGGGUGAUGGUGCUUGCACUAUCACUUAGCGGCGGACGGGUGAGUAAUGCUUAGGAAUCUGCCUAUUAGUGGGGGACAACAUCUCGAAAGGGAUGCUAAUACCGCAUACGUCCUACGGGAGAAAGCAGGGGAUCACUUGUGACCUUGCGCUAAUAGAUGAGCCUAAGUCGGAUUAGCUAGUUGGUGGGGUAAAGGCCUACCAAGGCGACGAUCUGUAGCGGGUCUGAGAGGAUGGUCCGCCACACUGGGACUGAGACACGGCCCAGACUCCUACGGGAGGCGGCAGUGGGGAAUAUUGGACAAUGGGGGGAACCCUGAUCCAGCCAUGCCGCGUGUGUGAAGAAGGCCUUAUGGUUGUAAAGCACUUUAAGCGAGGAGGAGGCUCUUUUGGUUAAUACCCAAGAUGAGUGGACGUUACUCGCAGAAUAAGCACCGGCUAACUCUGUGCCAGCCGCCGCAGUAA